rnacentral:rRNA from 1 species
GUAGGUGGCAAGCGUUGUCCGGAUUUACUGGGCGUAAAGGGCCUGUAGGCGGUUCGUUAAGUCCGGUGUGAAAUCUCCCGGCUCAACUGGGAGGGGUCAUCGGAUACUGGCGGACUAGAGGGGGGUAGAGGAAAGCGGAAUUCCCGGUGUGGCGGUGAAAUGCGUAGAUAUCGGGAGGAACACCAGUGGCGAAGGCGGCUUUCUGGGCCUACCCUGACGCUGAGGGGCGAAAGCGUGGGGAGCAAACCGGAUUAGAUACCCGGGUAGUCCACGCCCUAAACGGUGGGAUGCUAGGUGUGGGGGGUGUCGACCCCUUCCGUGCCGUAGCUAACGCUUUAAGCAUCCCCGCCUGGGGAGUACCGGCCGCAAGGCUA